UACAGAGGGGGCAAGCGUUGUUCGGAAUUACUGGGCGUAAAGGGCGCGUAGGCGGCCUUCUAAGUCGAACGUGAAAUCCCCGGGCUCAACCCGGGAACUGCGUCCGAUACUGGAAGGCUUGAAUCCGGGAGAGGGAUGCGGAAUUCCUGGUGUAGCGGUGGAAUGCGCAGAUAUCAGGAGGAACACCGAUGGCGAAGGCAGAUCUCUGGGCCGUAACUGACGCUGAGGAGCGAAAGCGUGGGGAGCGAACAGG
rnacentral:rRNA from 1 species